rnacentral:lncRNA from 1 species
CUUUACGACAGAUCUGCAACCGCGGCGAGUGAAACGCUGCACAACACCGCGAAUAUGAGCGUGCGGCUAGUGCGGCGUCAGUGGGGUGGUUUCGUUUAGUACCCCGUUGUUGCGUUGUUACUGGUGGAA